rnacentral:lncRNA from 1 species
CAGCAUCGGCAAGAAGGCGACAGGCCUCGGCGACCAACACAUCGGUGACCCACAGAUGGCAACAUACCCAAGGUCCGUGACCCUCGUCCCACUCCCACUCCCUCUCUCCUUCCCCAACCGGCGACCGAUCUCUUGCUGACCAAGCCGCCGUUGUAUGCUUUGUUUCUCUGAGCAGGAGUAAAUCUUCAAUGGAAGGGGGCAAGGUCAACCAUGGGAAGGGCAGGGGCGGGAGUGUUAGUGUCCCACGGAGGAGUUUGCGUGGUCGGCAUCCAGCACCAGAGUUGCCGUGCACCGGUGAGCAACAGGGUUUCGACGACAACACCAUUAGCACCGAAAAGGGUAAUUGCUACACCAUUAGCACUGAAAAGGGUUUCGACCCGCAGACGGCAGAAAAUAACGAUGAGUCCCAUCAUAGCCCACUGGCGAUGCUGAGUGUAGACUCGCGACCCUAACGGUACCUUACUCUUCGUCUGAAUAUCUUGCAACAUGAGACGUUGCAGCCAUAUAGGUCAAUACUUUGAAUGUUGGCAAGUUACACAGGAGUAAUAAUAAAGCAGACCUACAUGUAUAUGCAUAGUAUAACAAAAGGAAGGCUUGAGGGUUUAAUUUGCAGAAAGCUGAUUUUGUCCUCAUAACUACCUAAUAGUCAAAUUUUUAUUUAGUUCUUUCAUUACUACAAUUAAAUACACAAGGUUGAGUUGGCAAAAAUCAACUCCAACCUACCCUUUAUUAAGUUGCCCACAAAUAUUAUUAAGUGUCACAUCUGUCAAGAUCAUCCAACAACUGUAAUGGAAUAGUGGCUCAAAUUUGCCCAUAACCGGGGGCACGGCUAAUCAUGAUUAGUUUUAAUACUCGUAGAGUUUAGAACGCUUUAGCCAUUGGACCCAAUCCGAAGAUUGAGAUGAAGUCUUUCAGAAGCAGUCCCCUAGUCCCAACAGGAGGCCCAUCCCAACUAUUAUGUCUACAUCUGCUGGCACAUACGGGUAAGGGUUCCACAUCUGAUCAACUAAGCAAGAGCCUAUUUAGCCUGUGGCCGCACAUGGAAGCUACUAGUCACUAAGUCUGUCUGAUCUUUUUGAGCCUAGGCGGCCAUCCACUUACAUCAGAGGGUAUAAACCAUGAUGUUCUUGAAACCACCCUAGCAAUACCACUUCCGCCCAGAGGUGAAUUAAAUCCUGAGUGACUACUCAAAUUAUUAUAUAUAUAUAUCUAUAUAUAUAUAUAUAUAUAUAUAAUCCUCACAUAAGCUCAAUUAAUACAAGAACCACCCCCGUCUACAACGCAUAGCAACUACAACUACCACCAUCUGCAAUGACAGGAGAUAGCUCAACAGACAUAGCACAAUAAAUAUAGUAAUCCUAUACAUGCAUAUAUUCAUAGUGUGAUAUAACUACAUGCAUAGAAAACAAUAGGUAAAGGAUGAUCAACAUGUAACUUGCCUUGGUUCUGGUUCAAAAAGUCACACUCCUGACAAUAGCUCGCCUCGCACUCCGGACAAUCUACACGUUUCACACAAUUCAACAAAUCAAUCAUCGGAACACAAAUAGUACCAAAAUAAAAACCAACAGCAAGAAAUCCUUUCAAAAUCUCAAGAACAACAGCAUAACAACAUGUAAAGUUAUCUACUUUGCACUACAAUCACAACACAAAAAGAACCGCUAAAUUUCGUCAAACGGUUUGAAAGUUACGGCCUCCGGAAGAUUUGAUUCAAAUUCGAACGAAAUCAAAUUUGAAAGUGCAAACACAUGAGCUUUUGGUACUGUGAUAAAGUGCUGGUUUUUGUGAGUGCGCAGGAAAAAGAAUUUCCUAAAUUGGAUCUAUGGACUAAAAGAUAUAGCAAUUUGAAGUUUUGUUUGAAAUCUGAAAAAAACAAGAAGAAACAGAUAUUCUCGUGCACUGUUCAUGACGGCUACUGUAUCAACUCCUGUAGCAAAUGCCAUGUGUCAGCUGGCGAUUGGACCAGGUGAACUCUGCUCGCACGUGCUCAUUGGAAACAGAGAACGGCAGCGGCGGUCUUGGGCGUUGGCGGCGGCGCUCCUCUGGUGGGUCUCUGGCGAAGGCGAGGUAACGGGCGGGUGCGGUGUGCGGUGGCGGUGACGAUGGUAGUGCUCAACGGCGGUGUAGCUCCCUCUGUAGGCGACGGCGACGAGGUGAACCACGGCGUGCUCCGGCGGCAGCGAUCGAGCUCAACAGGCUCGUUCGGCUGCAUUUUCGGCCAAGUAAGGAGGUCAGGGGCGUGACUCCUCGAGUGGGGAAUCUAAAGAAACAAACCACGGCGACGAAAUCGACCGGCGAUGGCGGCGGACUCCGAAGCUUUUCGGCGAGAUCGGUUCGAGCUCGGACGAAGCGUGAGGCAAUAGGAGACGUGGGAAAGGGCUGCACUAGGUUUCCCUAGGGGUUUGGUUCGCGCGCGGUGUCCCCGAGGGGAACGAGGUCGACUAGGGCGUCCGGCUCGGGGUGGAAGAUGGGUGCGGGGCCCGUUGGUCAGCGGCUGGGGCGAGGUGGAUCCCGCGCGGGCAAGCGAUGCGGGUCGGGUGUGGGCGUACCGCUUCGGCAGCGACUGCGAGCGAGCGGGCUGCGGGGCUGGCGGCGUGGAGCGAUGGGGCUAGCGGUUGGCUACGCCGCGGUUGCUGGGCCGCGCGCGUGCGCUGGCCGGCCUGCUGGCUAGCUAGCUGGCCGGCUGGCUGAUGUUUCUUUUUUUUACACAACUACAGAAACAAAAAUAACUAAAAUAAAAACAACAUAAUAAAAACUAAACAAAAUUAUAUAUACACACAGAAAAAUAUAUACUACUAAUAUAAACUACAGGAACUCUAGUUCCUUACCUAAUGCAAUUUUUGAACAUUCAUUUUAUGCAUUAGGCCACACAAAACAGCAACAAAACAGACCAGUAAAAUAUUUCGGGGACUAAGAAAAUACCAGGACAUAACAGGUGAACAGUAAAUAAUAUUCUGCACAUUAUGAACAUUUUUAAAAAGGGGGAGAAGUUAUGUUUUCUCCACUCCAAAUAAAUUUCCUUCAGUUGCAUAAUGAAAAGAAUAUUUCUGAAAAGCAAUGCAUGGAAAAAAAUAUGAGAUGCAUAUGAAUGAUCUAUUAACAUCCAAAUUAGGAAAAUUGGGAUGUUACAUCCACGACGCCGGCCUACGGCAUGGCACCGAGGAUCAUCUCCAGAGGGUGUUGGCGACUGGUUGGUUCAUGGCCAUCGUUGACGCGAGCUACGACUCUCAGUUGGACAAGAUGAUCGUUGCCACCAUCAACAAGUUCACCAUCAUCAUGAAGCUUGCGGACGACAUCGCCGUACUCCUCCAGCCCGCGCUCCCAGGCUCCUCAUUGCCUGCCACCCUAAUCGGCCUCCAUGGCGAGAACCUCUUUCAAGCACGGGUGGCCCUGCGACUGCCCGCCGACACAACGAAGAAUGUCCACCUGGAGGCCGCGCUCGUCGUGAGGCGCCUCGCCCUGCAAGAAUUCGUCGACCUACACAUCCAUGUGUACGAGGAAGUCGUGUACAUAGGUAUAUACAAGGCUGGUGAGGAUGGUACGACGUUGGCCUUCGUCAACCGGCUGGAAGUCUUGGACGCCUUCGUUGAGAAGCACCUUGACCUCGCCACAAAAUCUGCCGCUCCUAAGCCGCCGGUCGGUGGCCCAGUGCACUGAGUCGAGGAGGAGGAGGUCGUACGUUGAUGGAUGCAUCUUUCUUCUUGCCUCCUGUAACCACCACUGUGACCGCAUCAUCGUGGCCUUAAUUCUUAUUAUGCUAUUGCAUUCUCAUUCCAGUCAAUACAGACAUGUGUGAUCCCUUUGCUCACAUUUGGAGGCAAUUAUUUGCAUCACUAUAACUAGUACUCCAUCUGUCAAUUUAUAAGUUGUGCUUACCUUUUCCAUCAACUUCGUAAUUUACGUUCGAUGCUUGACCUGACCUAUGAACUACUCCUAAAUUCAAAAACUGAGACCAAACCUAUAAAUUCAAAACUACUCGUGCAUCAUGCCUGUCACACUCGCAAGUUCAAAACAAGAAACUGGAACACGUACAUGAAGCAUGUCCCUUCCGCGUCGCAUACCACACUGUCAUUCCGCCCCCCGGUCAAUGCGCAUUGGUUAGGCUUUAUAUCACUACAACAUGUGGGACCGCAUGUGACCAAACCGAUGAUGCGCCAACCUAGCUACUACCCUGCUUAUCUGGCGCGAAAAGCCCUGCCCUAGCGUUUCCAAUCGUUAUUUUUAUCUACCCAUUGUGCCAAGGAGCAAAACCAAAUGUUACAGUUUAUACAUGUUUCUCUACUCCCAUAAAAGACUCAGUUGGUGAUGGUGGUGUGUCUGCCAUCCGUCAUUUCUGACCAUUAGAUCUGUAUCUAAUGGCUGUGAGGUAAGUUGUGGCAUUUUUGCAACAAUAGACCACUUCUCUGCUCCAAUUUGCAUAAAGCAACCACAUCCCUCCCUCAGUCAUCAAAACAGCCUAAGAAAUAUAUUUCGAGUGAAAAGUAAUAUAUUUUUAGUGGUAUAUAUGAAUAUCAAAACGAGAAGUGUUUUCUUUCAAGUUUGUGAACAAGUACUAUUCUACUUUGGAUCUGUUGCAAUGCACAGGCACAUUGCUAGUAAAAGGAAAAGGCCUGUCGCGUUCGCGUUGCACCCCCACACGCCCGGGAAUCGGGAGUACUCCACGGCCCGUCCGGCACGCCACAUACCUAGGGAAGGCGUGUUGCCUAGCAUAUUCACUUUGAUGUGGGACCGCAGUGGAGCAAACCAACUAUCGGCAAACCGCACCCCGCCCGCCACGUUGGAAAAUAGAAACGAGGAGGGGAAGAUCUAGCUAUAGCACGGAAGCCAAGAAAUUUGGUGUCAGAUGGGACUCGUUGAUAGAGUAGGAGUACUCCGUACUACACCCACUACGAAGUUUGUACUACUACUACCACCACUAUACAACUAGGCACGUGCACGGCACAACAUCGUAGGAACAAAAAAGGGAAGAUCUUGUUUUGGGCGAUGUAUCUUUAUUUCAGUCAACGUAGUAUGAAUAAUAUGAUGUGGGGGCACCCACGAAGCCACGUGGCAUGUCUGGAGGUCUUAUUUAGAGCUUCUUGUGAGGAUCGAUCACACUGUCGUGCUCGUCGCUCGAGAAGAAUGUGUAUGGGUACUUAUAGAAGAUCUGAAUCGCAGCCACCUGGACCAUUGGAUCAACAUCAAUCAACGGUUUAUAUCAUGUACGUGCAAAUACACGCAUUGACUCCAAAAAAUAAUUAAUAUAGAAUGUAUAAUACAUAUACCGCAUAUUGGGUUUCUCUAAAGUCAAACUUUGUAUACUUUCAAGAAUUUGUAGAAAAAGUAUUAACAUAUACACCACCAAAUAUAUAUCAUUUGAUUCAUCAUUGCUUUUAUUUCCACAUCGUGUAUAUAUUUUUAGUGUAAAUGUUCAUAUUGUUUUCACCAAAUUAGGUCAAGCUUUAUAAAAUUUGGCUGUAGUUAAAGCUAUAUAUGUGCGGAGUAAAUUACAAACGGAGGGAGUGAAAUAGAUAUAGAUAUAACUAUACAAAUAAAAAAUAAAGUAAUAUAGUCUAUAGAUAUAAAUAAGGCUACUACCCUUUUUCUAUGUUAGAACUCGCGUUGUUGUGUACACAUUGUUUUGUUUUUGCUAUAAUUUGCAUUUCCGGGGCGUCUAUAGGACUACCGCCUUUUGUUCAGUACCAGCAGCCCCAUCAUUAUCCUUAAUUAAUUCUUAUUGGCAAUUAUGAUUGCAUUAUCUUAGUUCUAGCCAAUUCUUCGGUUUCUUGGAGGAACUCCAUCUCGUUAUUCAGGUUGAUUUUGUGCAUAUGACAAGAUCAUCGUCCAUCGAAGAUUUGUUUAGUAACGAUUGUUGAUUUGUAUCACCGGGUACGAUAUAGCUGGAUCGUCAGCGUCAAAAUCCACCAAGUCGAUACUUAUCCCCACUCUCAUUAAAAGAUUGGGUCGCCGUCAUAAGACUACCACCUAGACAAUUCCUUCCCUAUAAAAUACACAUGAGCACCCAUCUCAUUAUUCAGGUCCACGCCUCCAUCUCCCUCCCUCUAGAAACACACACACCUCUUCACACGAUGCGUGUCUCUUGGUCUCUCUUCCAUCCCAUGACGAAAAGGCACACCGUCAUUCUCUUCUUCUUGCUACCACCGUCUAUGUAGUUAGGUCUCCUUUCAACAAACAAGCAUUCAUCUGUCUCUCUACUAUAUCUUUCUACCACACAUAACCUUCCACCCCUAGCCAGCUGUGCUGUCGAGGUCUAUCCAACUCUCUCACACGCAAACAGACACUGUCUAUGUGUCCCAUCAUCGCACACACACUAUCGCUCUCCCAUAUGCGCAACCUCGUAACCUUGUUGAUCCCGACGUUACACGCACCUCUCUCUCUAACACACACACACACACACACACUCUCUCUCUUCCUUUCGGACACUCCUCUUUCUAUGACAUGCAAAGUCUUUUGAACACGCAUAUGCCCCUCUCUCGUUAGGUAUCGCUGCCCCCACCCCCUCUUUGUCACACAAUAUUCUAUAUAUAUAUAUAUAUAUAUAUAUCUCGCAAUAAUACAUGCAUUGUAUACAUUUAAACCAAGUACAAAAAUGAGCUCUAAUUACAAAAAUCAAAUCCAGUCCCAAACAGAAUAAGAAAAUAGGGUGAAAUCAUGCACACAAAUGUUUGUUGCGUGCAUGAAUGUCAAUGAUAUGGAUGUACUACUCAUACAUCACACAAACCCAUUUCACACAAAUUACAUUAAACCCUUCUCAAAAUAUGGUGCGCAUGUGAUGUUUGUUGUACUGCUCCUGCCGGCUUUCCUCCGACAUGUUCCAACAUAUUGUGCUACUUCCGAAUCUAUUUUUCUCUUCAGUUCAUGUGAAACCAUGAAAAGGUCACCGCCCGCCCCCACUAGUUCUGUAGCUCGAAGCUCCCAUAUGGACACACCACCCACCGGAGCACGCAGCCAUUGCCGAAGUGGACGGCGCCGCGGCCUGGGAAGAGGACGGAGUCUCCGACAUCGCCGAGGUGGAGCACGUCCUCUACGGCCGCGAGUAGCACGCACUGUGUUGGUGCAACAAACCCUGGAUCUGUUGUCACAUCCCCAGUUCUGGUAAUGCUUAGUACUAGCAUCUUGUGUUGCAUCAUGUUUAAGUUUCAUUUAACUUGAAGUUGGGGAUGACCAAGCCCUGGCACUAAAUCAAUUCAAAUAGGUUCAACUCAAAAUAUUUUUAAUGAACCCAGAAUGCCCUCCAAAAAUGUUCAUGAUUCUUGAUAACGGUGAAAACCUCUGCCAAAAAUGAUGCCAAUAUUUUAGGCCAUUCUGGAUUUUUGAAUUAAUCCAUAUUGUAUUUGAAUUGGAGCAAAUAAAAUCCAUAAAUAAUUUUAUAGCUCCAAAUGUUUUGGAAAUUGUUGUGGAUCUCUGGAAUAACUCAGUUAACAUCCACAAUAAUUUUCAGCAUUUAUAAAAAUGGUUUAGUGCCUAAACUAAAUCAGAAACAAACUGUAAAAAUAGAAAAGAGAAAUAAAAUAGAAACUAGAGCAGAGAGAGAGAAACCCACUUGGCUUACCUGGCCUGGCGCUGUUACAGCCCAGCUGGCUAGCACACCUGGCGGCCCAGCCCACCAGGGGCAGCCUCGUCUUCUACCUCUUGCCAGUAGGCAGAGGAGAAGCUGGGCACGGCGAACGCGCGCGCCACCUCCACCCUGCUCGCCUGCCUCCUCGACGGCCUGGACGCCUCUGGCGUUGCCACGCAGACCCCCUGGACCCCCUCGACCGCUCCCCUCUCUCCCUGCCUCGCACUCUCUCGCUCUCUCUCCCGAAGUCGAGCGGAGUCGUCGCCGCCGUCCGCUGCCACCGCGGCCACUAGCAUCCCAGCGACGCGCCGAGCUGCCCAAGAACUCCGCCUUGUACCCCUCUUCCUCCUCGUCGAGCUGUGCAACGCCGGGCGCCCCCGAGCGCCUCCACGCCGUCUUCUUCAACCUCCCGAUGCCGGAGAUCGCCAUCGCCGCCCCGCUUGCUCCGGCCCUUCCCGCGUGCACACCCGAACGCCGGCUGCCGUGGCCGAGCUCCUCGCCGUCGUUCCCGGCCAUCCUAGCAUCACCUGAGGACACCAACCGACGCGCCUCCUUGCUCCGGUUCCAACGUGCCCAGCCGCGCGAGCUCACGUCGCCGGAGUUGGCCGAACGGGCAACGCCGCUGCGUCCUGGUUACGCCGGCGAUUAGCCGCCGGUGAUAGCAACUGUUAGGGAUUAAUCACCCCACUAACUAAGCACCUAUGCCACUGACAGCCGGGCCCCACCGGCUUAGUUAAACCACUAACAAAAUUUAGUUAGACUUAACUUAAUCCCGGUGGACCCACGCGUCAGUUUUGACCUUGCUUACGUGGCCGUUGACCGGGCCCAAUUGUCAGCCACACAAACCUGCCCUGAGUCACUGACCAGUGGGCCUCACUGGUCAGGUUUGACCCGGACCAGCCCUUGUUGACCUGCUGACAUCACAGUGAUGCAAUGCUGACGCAGUAAAACAUUUUCUGGAAUUAAGUUUAUUUAGGGAAUUCCAAAAAAUAGUGCUAAUUUCUAGAAAUCAUAGAAAUUCAACCGUAGCUCAGAAUGAAAUAAGUUAUAUAUGAAAAAUUAUCAGAAAAAUCCAAUCUAUCCAUAUGUACUGGUUUCAUGCAUGUUUAAACAAGUUAACUUACUGUUUAGUGAAAAACAUGAUAAAGCGCUAUUUAAGAUCACAAAUGAGUUUAAACUUUGAAUCUUUGGUUCAAAAUAGCUCAAACCCAUCUGGUUGUAGUUGCAUUAGCCCAACACACUCAUUUUACCAUGUCAUGAUCAUGCAUCAUAUUGUGCUUUGCAUUGAUUGUGUUUCUUUCUCUGUUGCCGGUAUUUGUCCCCUCUCGAUAGACGUGGUUUCGACGAUGAGAUCGAUGACACUGAUGAAGAACUAUACUAUCUUCAGAAGUGCCAGGCAAGCAAAACCCCCUUGUUCAUUUCGAUACGAUCCCACUCUCUCGCUCCUGCUCUCUUUUACUGCAUUAGGACAACAUCGAUUCAACUGUUACAUGCUGCGGUAGCUGAACCCCUUUUCCUCUGCAUGACCUGUCAUUGCCACAGUAAAUAGAUGAAACCCACUAGCAUGAGUAGGAGUUGUUUGAGCCCUGAUGUGCCUACUCACUCAUGCUUGUUUGUCAUGCCUGCUACUGCUUAGAGUUGAGUCGGGUCUGAUUCAUCGGGAAUGAAUUGGAAUGGUGAUGAACAUGUCCUACUGUGUGUGAGCUAAGUGUGUGAACACGAUUUGGUAAAGGUAGUGGUGAGAGGCCAUAUAGGAGUACAUGGUGGGUCGUCUCAUGGAAACCGUCCUCAGGAACUGAGUUCUGUGUUUGUGAUCGAUGAACACUUACUACCACACAUUGGGAUCCUUAUUUGACUCUCUCGACUUAUUAAUCGCCUUGAUCUCUGUCCAAGAGUUGCAACUAGUUUAUGGUGUUUGUAGGAUAUGUGUUGGAGGCCGUGCAUAGCGCUGACCCUAGGGGUGGGCUAUGAUGCGGUAGAUACACCGUGGCCCGGUGUACCGGGCGCCCGUUUGGUGUCUCGGGAACCCUGCACACAUCGUUUGGGGCUGUGAGCGAAACCCCGGCGGGAUCUCCUCGCGGAUGGAACCCGAAUAGGCGAUAAACCUGGACUAGCGACUGGUGUGGUUUGUCAGGUCGUGGCCGACUCCCUCGCCAGGCUUCCGCUUGAAGGUUGCCGAGAUACACGACGUGUACAUGGUGGUAAGUGGCGAGAGCGUGUGUGAAGAAGUACACCCCUGCAGGGUUAUAAAUGAUCUAUUCGAAUAGCCAUGUCCGCGGUAAAGGACUUUUGGGUUGCCCCUACAGUUCAUAGACAAGUGAAAGUGGAUACUCUAAAACUCGCAAGAUAAGCGUGAGUGCUAUGGAUGGCCUUCUCGUAGGGAGACGGGAGCGGAUCCAUAGUGGUGUAUUGAUAUGGUGAAUAUGUGGACUCGUGUGCGCCACCUCAAAAGAGUUACUUGCAGUCAUAGUUCAGGAUAGCCACCGAGUCAAAGCUGGCUUGCUGCAGUCAAACUCCACCACCCCCUUUAUUGAUACCGAUGCAUAUGUAGAUAGUUCUGAUGUAAGUCUUGCUGGGUACAUUUGUACUCACGUUUUCCUAUUUUAUGUUUUUGCAGAGAGACGUCAGUCUCGCUAGUAGUUCUGCGUGGACUUCGACGUUUAGCUUGUUACCUCAGCUAUGAUCUUGUGCCCUCGACAGGGUCUUGUAGAUAGUCAGGCUUCUCAGCCUUCUUCAUUUUAUAGUUGUCUGUACUCAGACAAGUUAAGCUUCCGCAUGUGCUUGUUUCUUGUAUGCUCUGUAUGUUGGGGUCAUGAGACCCAUGUUUGUAAUUCUUGGCUCCUCGGAGCCUAAUGAAUAAAUACUUUGAGUCGUAGAGUUUCGUUGUGAUGCCAUGUUGUAUUUACACAUAUCGAG